UAUACAACUUUCAGCAACGGAUCUCUUGGCUCUCGCAUCGAUGAAGAACGCAGCGAAAUGCGAUAAGUAAUGUGAAUUGCAGAAUUCAGUGAAUCAUCGAAUCUUUGAACGCACCUUGCGCUCCUUGGUAUUCCGAGGAGCAUGCCUGUUUGAGUGUCAUUAAAUUAUCA
rnacentral:rRNA from 1 species